GGCACUAUGACAGGAUAUUAAUGACACCCAGGUGUCCAGCAAAGACCCUUCCCUUCAUGGAACUCAAAGUGUGUGAGGGACAUAUGUGGUAAGAGUUUUUGUAACCCAGGUAAUAAAGGCCAUAAGAAGAUUGUGAAAGAUCCACUGCGCAUCCAGGGAGGCAGUGGUCUCCUUUUCUGGCUUCUGCCUCAUUUCUUUAUCUCACCCUCCACAAAAUUUAAUUCCAUCUAUUUAAUCAUUCUCUCCCUCCAGCUUUCUCUCUCUCCUUCCCUCUCUCCUUCCUCUCUCUGUUUCUCCCUUUUGGCUACCUGAUACACUUAACUCAAGACUCAGCCAAAUGCCACCUCUUCUGUAGCACCUUUCCUGAUGUUUCCAGUCAGAAUUAAUAGCUACUUUGUCUAUUUUCCCAUAGUACACUAUUUGUACUGCUAUCAAGCUCUGCCUUAAUUCUGCCUUGUAUUACCUUGAUUUGUUUACAAGUCUGUCUCUCUCCCUUGACUGAACUCGUUGAGAGCAGAGACCUUGACUUACUCAUUUGUUUUUCCUAUAGCACCCAGAAGAGUGCCUGGCACCUAGCUGGUGUUGAAAAAAAUGUUUAUUAAACAUGAAGGGAGAGGCCCAGAGGUGGUGGGGUGUGGGGCUAGGCCUCUGGGAGAGAAGUGAGUAUGCUAGAGUAGUGACUAGGGAGAGCAUAUCCAACCUUUCUUUAGUGGCCAGAUGUGCUGUGAGCUUUUUGGAGGCACAGUAGAUGGUUGCUUUUCCAGCGACUUCAGGGCUAUUACUCUGUUGGAUAGGGUAUGUCUGUUGAAUUGACCAGGAUGGCAGAGGUUACAGAAUAGUGGCCGGUGGUCUUUGUGGGCCUAAAUUUAUAUGCAUGACAAAGAAUUUACAUUUUCUGAAUGUUCUAACUUUUAGAAAGAAGGAGAUUUUACUGUAAACUCUGGGUUUCUAACUUCUCUUUGAAAAGUGGAGAAUAUUUCUGUGAACACGUUCUUAACACUGUAAUCAGCUGAGGCUGAAUACAGGCUGCUGUCUUCAGAUGGUAUGAGCAGUCUCAAGAAAUGUUGUCCCCAUUACUUAUAACUGUUUCUUAAAUUGAGAUAUAACUUGUAUACUAAAAGUGUGCAGUUCAGUGGGUUUUGUACAUUCACAAAGUAUUGCAACUAUUACCACUAUCUAACUACUAUUUUAUCACUCUUGGAAGGAACCUCAAAUUCAUUACCCAUCAUUCCCUAACCUCUCCUUCCCUUGUCCCUGGAAACACUAAACUCCUUUUUUCUCUAUGAUUUUCCUAUGUUGGACAUAUCAUAUAAGUGGAAUCAUAGAACCUGUGGCAUUUUGUGCCUGGAUUCCUUCUCUUGGCAGAAUAUUUUCAGAGUUUAACAAUAUCAUAGUGUGAGUCAUAGUUCACUUAUUUUUAUGACUGGAUAAUCUGUCAUACAGAUAUACAACAUUUUGUGUAUGUAUUCAUCAGCUGUUAGACAUUUAGGUUGUUUAUACUCUUUAGUUAUUAUGAAUAAUGUUUAAAUGACCAUUUUUUAUAAGUUUUUGUGUGAACUCAGGUGUUUCUUAAGUGCAUCACAAUUGACUGAUUUCCACUAAUCUUUCUGACUCGUAUACAUGUUGAUUCAUUCUAGAAGCAGCAUGAGAGAAGAAUGAGUAGGAAUGUUUUGGGGAAAAAUGAGAAAAAUGCAGACAUGAUAGUAGGUCACAGGCACAUAGUGUGUAAAAAGAUGACACUGGGCACCUGGGGGUAACAAGGAAUGGCUAAGGAGUGAAGGAAAGCAGGCAUGGAAGGGGAUGGGAGGCAAGCUGUACCACAGCUUCCCUAGGAUCACACUUUAAAAAUGGAUGCAGAGAAAAGGAAGGUAAGGUAUGUAGCAUAGCAUUGCAAAAGGGGAACGACCCAAGGCUAGGAGUCAGAAGACAUGAAUUUGAAUCUUCUUAUACUACUAUUUAUGUUUCAUUUAUUUGAAAGGGUGAGAGAGUGAGAGCAAGCAAGAGACAGAUCCAUCUCCACUCCACAAAUACACACAGCGAUGUCCAGGAUCUCAAUUCAAAUCUCCCAUGUGGGCAGCAGGAACCCAACUACUUGACCCACCACCUGCUCUCUCUCAAGGUGCACAUUAGCAGGGAGCAGGAAUCAGGAGUGGAGCCAGGACUUGAAUCCAGGCAGUCUUAAAUGGAAUUUGGGCAUUCCAAAUAGUGUUUUAACCUCCCAAUCACUGUCAGAUGCUGACACUCUCAUACUUUUUGAUAGAUAUAACCUUGGCAAGAAAUUUCCUUGAAAUCAAUGGUUUUAUCUGUGAUCUAGAUAAAAUAAAGUUACCCAGUUAACCUCACUGGAUUUGUGUGAGCAUCAAAUGAUAUCAUAAAUGUGACAAGGGGUCGAAAACUUGAAUAGAGGAGGAUACUUCAAAAAGUUUUUGGAGAAAGCUAAUAGGCAUUUUCCACAAACCCUUUGAAAUGCCUUUAUAGAGUAUGUUUAUGAGAGAUUAAUCUUCAGAGAAAAUGGCACACUUACAAAUAAUUGUGAGGCUUCCAGUUAGUUAAGUGACCCUGGAAGAUCACGGUCAGAAUAACUCAGCACCUGAGAUCUCCCUAUUAGAAAUACUCUCAUUGCCAGUUAGUCUUUAGAAUGACUCUAUCUUAUUCAUCCCAGACAAGAAUGAGCAGGACUUUUCUCUUUUGCAGGGAUGGGAGAGAGGCCUAUUAUAAGGUCUGGGAUUUGAGAGGGUCAGGAGUUUUCAGGAGUUGGACCCUGGAGGUUCUCUAGGGCCCUAGGGAUUAGUAGACUAGCUGUGGGCUAAGCCUUGGUUAAAGCCCUUACCUCUUUUUGAAAACUCCAUCAUGGAUCAUAUCACUUUUGCUUUGCAGUUAGAAAAGGUAGAGGGAGAGAUAAAAUGUCCCCAAGAGACAUAGAGUCAGUACCAGAGGUCUUCUAGGGGAGCAGGGGAGAGGAAAUGGACUAGGUAUGACCUGAAGUGAGCCCAGCAUUGCUUGAGUUUUUCUGAGUAGAGAAAUAAUAACAAUUACUAACAUUUAUUGAGCACUUACUUUGUGUUGUUCCAAAGCUUUACAUAGGAAUUCAUUUAAUCUUCAUCUGAACUCUAUGAAGUUGAGUUUGUUUGUUUUUUGAGGGGAGGAGAAACAAAAGUUGAAAAGUUAAGGAACUGACCCUGGCCAUGUAACUAGAAAGGGGGAGUCUGGACUCAUACCUUGUUGGUCUGACUUCAAGGGUGCCCUGAAUGCACUGUGAGACCUCAGCAGGGAUCCCAGGUUUCUAAUCAGAAGGCCUAGGAGUCAUCUCAUCACUGCCCCUGAAUAAGAGAGUGGUCUGUGGCCUGUCAUUGUGGGAACUGCCCAGAUUGCUUUGGGACACUCUCAAGACCCAUAUCUACCUUCAUGUUGGAUUGAUAUGGCCAACUUCUGACAUAGGUAAAUCUUGAGUCUAGAAGUGAUUUGAUAUUAGCCCUAGGAGGUUUAUCCCCUGUUUCCUGUCCAGUGUAGACCUAUUUAAGAAGGAAGGGAGAGAGAGUAGGGGGAGGAAAAGGGAGAGAGGGGGUGGGUGGGAAUGACAUCAAGCAGGAAUGUGCCAGUCAGCGGGGGUAAAUUUUCCACUUGGAUCUGUGUGGAAACCUGAUCCUGUCUCUAAUUUUGGUCUCCUUCUCUAACAACCUUUCACCAGAUUGGAAUUUUUCUGCACCUGUAACACAUUUUUAAUGUAAUAAGUCUAGGAGAAACCAGGUAUUAUAUCAUGCUGGGGCCUGUGCUGUGUUUCUAGGAGCAAAGGUAGCCCAGACCCCCGUUUAUCCCUAUAGGGGAUUAGUGUAUUAGUCACCCUGUAAAAGCUCAAUUUGUUAUGAUUUUUUUAAAAUGUUUCUUUUAGCACUUGCUUAUAAAAGGUGAAGAGGGGAGCAACGAAUGUCUGUGCUCCCUGCCCCUACCUCCUUCACACAUGCACAUACUCUCUAUCAAUUUUCUAUGAAUUCAAAUUCAUAAAAAUCCAAUACACAAGUAUUGGCUUGAACCAGUUAGCUUAUGUUUGCUAUAUUGAAUUUUGUCUUGGCUAGGGGCAGUGCAAGUCACAAAAAGGUGACAUUAUUGUAUGGGCCACCUGCUCUGUGGGGAAUGAAAGUGAGUUAGAUAGUAAAUUAGUGGUUUAUGGUGACCAUGAAUAGCUACUGAGGCUCAGAUUUGGCUUCUUCAUGUGUGACUGGGCAUUUCCUUCCUUGUUACUCAAGAUGAGCUGUCUUUUGGAUUUAGGCCAUUGGUUGCAUGGGGGCUCAAUGUAAAUGUUUCUCCUAACUUUACCUAACUGGGGAGUUCUAUACAGCUCGCCCCCAUGAAGAAUAAGGAAAGUAUAGGAAAGAUGGAAGAAAGGUGGGAAGAAGGAAGGGAAAGAGCUAGCAGCCAUGGUCACGUAAGAACACAUGAGACAGUAUGGGACUGGAGAGAGCAUGCACUCUCUCCAGGAGGUAACAUGGCCUUGUAUCCCCAGGCUGCCAUCCAGACCAAGAGUCUGUAUCUAAGUUGCCUAGAUUUUGAAUUUUAGUGGCCAUUCAAUACUCAGGGGAACCUUUUACCUUUGGUUUCAUCUUCCAUCCCUCACUAAACCCCCAAACCUAUCCCAGAACUGGAGGUAGCAGAGCAGAAAGAAGACUGAUUGCAGUCAAAGAUCACAGCUGAAAUGAGCUCUGUCAUUUUGUGUGUGCCUAGCACAGAUUCAAGUUUUGUGGCACCUGAUGCUAAUAUGUUUUCGGGUACCAUUUUUGAGGAAAAGAUUAUGAAUGUGAAAUUGCCAGGGUCCCUGCCAGGGCCUGGAAGUGAAAAGCUGACUGACAUGAAAGUUUCAUUAGCUUCACUAAAUCUGCUUGGUGUGUAGCCCUAUGUCAGUUGACAUCUUUGAGCUCCAGUCAUUUCUUUCCUGGGGACUUAAUCAUGCCUGUCUGUCUCAAGGGAGUAUUGUAAUGAACAAGCAUUUUUUUUUUCAAAAUGCCACAUAUACAUGCAUGUGCAUGUGUGUGUGCAUGCACAUGUGCACACACAUACACAUACACACGGUCUAGGAAUUCUAGAAAUGUGCUAUUUAUCAAAGUCCAUUCAGGUAUUGUUUUAUUUUUUUUUUAUUUUUAUUAUUUUUUUUUUUUUUGACAGGCAGAGUGGACAGUGAGAGAGAGAGAGACAGAGAGAGAAAGGUCUUCCUUUGCCGUUGGUUCACCCUCCAAUGGCCGCCGCUGCAGCCGGCGCACCGCGCUGAUCCUGGCAGGAGCCAGGAGCCAGGUGCUUUUCCUGGUCUCCCAUGGGGUGCAGGGCCCAAGCACCUGGGCCAUCCUCCACUGCACUCCCUGGCCAUAGCAGAGAGCUGGCCUGGAAGAGGGGCAACCGGGACAGAAUCCGGCGCCCCAACCGGGACUAGAACCCGGUGUGCCGGCGCCGCAAGGUGGAGGAUUAGCCUAUUGAGCCACGGCGCCGGCUAGGUAUUGUUUUAAUGCCUUGAUAAUAAUAUCUAUAGGUUUCCCCCCAUUCAGUUAUUUGUCCCAGUGUUUCCCAUUGGUUUAUUGGUCAGGACAUCUUCAGGGUGCCCUCUACUGGUUUUGUUGGAUGGGUUCCAGAUCCAGAGAGUGGUAAAUAAAAGCACUUUUGUGUUUCCUAUGUGUGGAACAGGAGCAGUCAUCUGUCUGGGGACCCUGUCUACCCUGCAUUUACAGCUUGGAGAUCUGCAUCCAUUUGCCAUUGAAGAAUGAAUAAAGCAUCUCCACCUCUCUAAUGAGGCACCAGAACAUAAACCUCAGUUACCAGCACUUGAAGAGAAUCCCAGAUGUUUUAAAGAAAAAUGCCUGAUAUUCCAAGUAUGCCAUUUGUGAAGUUUUCAAGAGAUCUACAGUAAGCUAUGAGGUGGGGUUGUUUAAAAUGAAGAUGUGAAUUGACAAUGUAGCACAUUGUACAGAUCCCCCAAUGACUGCACAGUGCCUUCAAGGUACUUUAAUUGGGAAGUUGGCCUGGUUUGACAUAUCUGCAUUUCAGGGGUUCUGUUUAUUUAUAAGUGCCUUCAAAUUGCUUAAAAACUAGGUCAACUAAGGCAGACAAUACUUUUAAAAAGGUAGGAAGGGAAGGAUGCCACAUUAAAUGUGGAGUGGCUCUGAUGAGUGUUGCUAAAAUAAAUAUGAGUUUUUCAAAUAUGCAAUGGCUUGAAGAUUUCUAACCUAGAGCACUGGAUAAAUAGGAUAAAAUUCCCUCUUUAAAUAUCUAUGAUUUUUAAAAUUAUAAAUCAUCGCAGAGCUCCUAGCUGUUAUUUUUGUGAGCUCACAUAAAUGAUGACGAGGUGACCUGCUAGCAUGAGAGCAAAAGUAGAACUGGAAUUUGUAAAAGUGACAAGGUUGACCUAAAAAUGAGUGAGCCAUCUGGUCAACAUCCACAUCUUAGAAAACACUGGAAUGUUCCCUCACUGGUAGGGACUGUGUCUUAAGCCUUUUAUCCAUCCUCACAAAGAUCAGACACAAAACAAAUAGGGAAUUUCAUAAAUAAUUACCAACAUAUUAUAAAAAUUCAUUUGGCAGCAUUAUUAUUAUUUUUAAAUGGCCUAAUCAGACAGGCUUUUCAUUUCCAAAAAUUACCUUCUAAAUCAUAGGUAGUUUUCUAGUCUAGUCCUAUGUAGUUUUAUAGUUUUACGUGGAGGCAGUUUGUUAAUAAGCAGUGCUGUGCUGGUAAGAUGGAAAGAAAGAGAAAGAAAGAGGGGGGAAGGAAGAAAGGAGGGAAGGAAGGAGGAGAAGGUGAAGGAAAGGUAGGUGAAAGAAGCAGGGAAAGAGCGGGAGAGAGGGAGGAAUAGACCUGAUUUGUAGCAUAUGCCAGUUUCUGUGGUGUAAAUACUCAUGCCAUAGCUGAUUUCAAGUUACAAAGGGUUUGACAGGGGACUUCCAGAAUUCCUGAGUAUUUGACAGUUGGCUCCAACACAUCAUUCCUAUUAGACCUUUAUUCACGCAGGUGUUGAGUUUGAGGGCUGGCUGCAGUUACUAACUGUUGAACUUCUGAAAAUUAAUUAGGCACUCUGGCCCUGAGUUGCAUCAUCUAAAAUUAAAGAGUUCUUACAGUCUGACAUCCCUUACACUCUUCUGUAUGUUGUGAAGCGUUUGAAGGAUUAAAUCCAGCAAUGCUUGGUUCAGGGUGAGAUAUGACCUUGCUUUUUUUUUUUCUUUUCAGGCUUUUUAUUAUGAAUUAAUUUGUAUUUAUUCGAGGGGGAGA